rnacentral:rRNA from 1 species
CGGGUGAGUAACACGUGGGUAACCUGCCCUUGAAUCUGGGAUAACUUCGCGAAAGCGUUGCUAAUACCUGAUAUUGUUAUUUUAACUUCGGUUUUAAUAAUGAAAGAUGACCUCUUCAUGAAAGUUGUCGUUCAAGGAGGGGCUCGCGUACCAUUAGCUUGUUGGUGGGGUAAUGGCCUACCAAGGCUGCGAUGGUUAGCUGGUCUGAGAGGAUGAUCAGCCACACUGGAACUGAAACACGGUCCAGACUCCUACGGGAGGCAGCAGUGAGGAAUUUUGCGCAAUGGGGGAAACCCUGACGCAGCAACGCCGCGUGAGUGAAGAAGGCUUUCGGGUCGUAAAGCUCUGUCAGAUGGGAAAAAAUUUUUGUGGUCAAUAGCCACUAAAUCUGAUGGUACCAUCAGAGGAAGCACCGGCUAACUCCGUGCCAGCAGCCGCGGUAAUACGGAGGGUGCAAGCGUUGUUCGGAAUUAUUGGGCGUAAAGGGCGUGUAGGCGGGAUGGUUAGUCAGAUGUGAAAGCCCUGGGCUUAACCCAGGAAGUGCAUUUGAUACUGCCAUUCUUGAGUAUGGGAGAGGAGAGUGGAAUUCCCAGUGUAGAGGUGAAAUUCGUAGAUAUUGGGAGGAACACCCGUGGCGAAGGCGACUCUCUGGACCAAUACUGACGCUGAGACGCGAAAGCGUGGGGAGCAAACAGGAUUAGAUACCCUGGUAGUCCACGCCGUAAACGAUGAGAACUAGGUGUAGCGUAUUGACCCCUGCUGUGCCGAAGUUAACGCAUUAAGUUCUCCGCCUGGGGAGUACGGCCGCAAGGCUAAAACUCAAAGGAAUUGACGGGGACCCGCACAAGCGGUGGAGCAUGUGGUUUAAUUCGACGCAACGCGAAGAACCUUACCUGGAUUUGACAUCCUCUGUUACCCAUGGAAACAUGGUUUUUUAUGCUUGCAUAAACAGAGUGACAGGUGCUGCAUGGCUGUCGUCAGCUCGUGUCGUGAGAUGUUGGGUUAAGUCCCGCAACGAGCGCAACCCUUGUUUUUAGUUGCCAUUAUUAAGUUGGGCACUCUAGAAAUACUGCCUCGGUUAACGGGGAGGAAGGUGGGGAUGACGUCAAGUCCUCAUGGCCUUUAUAUCCAGGGCUACACACGUGCUACAAUGGGCUGUACAAAGAGUUGCCACUUCGCGAGAAGGAGCUAAUCUCAAAAAGCAGUUCUCAGUUCGGAUUGGAGUCUGCAACUCGACUCCAUGAAGUUGGAAUCGCUAGUAAUCGUGGAUCAGCAUGCCACGGUGAAUACGUUCCCGGGUCUUGUACACACCGCCCGUCACACCAUGAAAGUCGGCUGUACCAGAAGUUGCUGGGCUAACCCUUCGGGGAAGCAGGUACCUAAGGUACGGUCGGUAAUUGGGGUGAAGUCGUAACAAGGUA